UAUGUAAGCAGAGUUACUAAU
rnacentral:snRNA from 1 species